GCUGGGUGGGGAGGCACAUGCCUGUAAUCCCUGCUACUUGAGAGGCUGAGGCAGGAGGAUUGCAAGUUUGAGGCUAACCUCGGAUCUUAGCAAGACCCUCAGCCACUUAGCAAGACUCUGUCUCAA
rnacentral:sRNA from 1 species